rnacentral:rRNA from 1 species
UACGAACCGUCCAAACGUUAUUCGGAUUUAUUGGGCUUAAAGGGUAUGUAGGCGGCCCUUCAAGUCGGGUGUGAAAGCCCUCGGCUCAACCGAGGAACUGCGCCCGAUACUGUGGGGCUCGAGGGAGACAGAGGUAAGCGGAACUGAUGGUGGAGCGGUGAAAUGCGUUGAUAUCAUCAGGAACACCAGUGGCGAAAGCGGCUUACUGGGUCUCUUCUGACGCUGAGAUACGAAAGCUAGGGGAGCGAACGGGAUUAGAUACCCCGGUAGUCCUAGCUGUAAACGAUGAGCACUUGAUCGUGGGGCCCCCCAUAGCCUCUCGGUCGCAGCGAAAGUGGUAAGUGCUCCGCCUGGGGAGUAUGGUCGCAAGGCUGAA